ensembl:lncRNA
CGUGGUCACUCGCUGAGAUCUUAAUUAGUAUUUGUUCUUAUUAACUAUAAAUCCACUGAAUCACACUUGGACUUGCACUGGCUGCCACACACACAGAGCCUCCACCUUGGGGGUCUGCAGGCCUCCCAGGCUUGUUAGACUCGGGUGAACUUUUCUCUCAGACUUCGGGUCGCCCAGCUGGGCUGGCACCAUGGUGGUGGCAGGAAUCAGUGCACCACCCUCAGCAAAUGCGCCCUUCUCUGAGUCCUGCUAAUGCAAUCUAGCAGCCAAUUGACUUAAAUUCCUUCCGCUUUAUUGUUCUCCGUCCUUAGAGAGGCCAGUGCUCAGCAUCUAGCAGGGCUGCGAGGCAGGCCUCCGCCGAUCCUGGAGUUGUAAUUCCCCACUGCUGGCUGCUGCAGUUUUAUUACGGCCUUCUUUUUUCUGAGAUUGACAGACAUAAACCUCCAGUGUGGAGCCUGCGACAGCACCCUUAAAGGCUUCUCUGUGUGGACACGUAACCUUAGGACAAAGUGGGCGCAGCUCCAGGAAAGGCACAGCAGCCUGCUACAGGGAAGGACUGUGCUGGGGCAGACCUCAGGGUUUCUUCUUCUGGCUGGCUCCCUGGGAAGCCUCCCAGGGACAAUGCUUUCUUCCUCUAAGUAGAAUUUUUUGUGGGGGGCCUUCGGGAGAUUGGGAAUACUGCGAGAGGAGACCUGUGGUGGCUGUCCAGGGAACUCCACAUGCAACCAGAGGAACAAGAUGUCCUUCCUUGAGUGAAACCAGAAGGUGUUUUCCCGUCUCUGUCGAAAGAAGUCAUGUGCUGGUCUGGAGAGAAGUGCGUAUAUCCACCGGGAGUCUUCAAAUUUAUAAGUAUAUCCAGAGGCCUUCAAAGUCAGGCAUCUAAUUAUAACCUAAACAUAAUCUAAAUAUAAAUAUCAUCAUGCAAUUAUCUAAAUAUAAUCAUGCAAAUUAAUAAAUGCCAUCACUUUUCAGCACUACCCUAGCAAUUGACUUUCUUUUCAGGGCCAUUUUUCAAAAAGGAACAAGUUAUUAUCUUUUAGCAGUUUUUAUUGCAGUUGUGACAAUUAGAGAGAACCAUAAGAUCUUGCUUAAGAUGUGAAUACGAGGUGGCUGGCUGGGCCCACUCAGUAAUCAAAUGAUUGUUCUCAGACAAUAGUGUUUGGGCUUCUGAUGCUUGCCUCAGCAAAACUGCAAAUUAUUAUUUUUCAUAGACCUUUGAGGUUGUCCAUAAGUCAUUGCAAUGUUCAAUGCCAAGUGCUCACAUUCUCCGAGAUAAAGAGGGCAAAGAAGGAGAGAAAGAAUGUGUAGCUCAUUAUCCACACAUUAUUUUCCUAUUGUUUGGGAUGUUGAGAAUACUUUUUAGAAAUUUAUCAAGGCAAUGACUCCCAGACAUUUUCCAUUAAAAAAGGGGGUAUUUUUGCAUUUCAUGUACUAUCCCAAGAGUGGAUGUAAGAAGCAGUUUGUUUUCACUCUGCAGCAAGGGAAGUGACCUAAAAUAAUUUGUCUUGUAUUUCAUAAUGACCACAAUAGUGAACUAAAACCAUUUUUUUCUUAUAUUUGUUUCUUCUAUGACACUAUUUUGCAAGCUAAUACAUAUAAACUUUGUCCAAAAGAUCAUAUGAUUUUUUUCUUUUAAAAAAUGUACCCUUUUUAAAAGUUUCUAACUCUUCUGGAAUGGGUCAUAAAUCCAAGCUAAACUGUAACGAUAGUUCAGUAAUACCUUCCUUGUAUUUCAGAAAGUUCUAAAGAACAGGUUGGUACAAUUAAGUGGUAAAUGUUAUGGCACACUGCAUUAUCACUAUAGGUUAUGCUAUAUGGUACAUAGAAAGCACUUUUAUCCUAGACGUUGAAUAUGCCACAUAAAGUGAGUCCGUAAUUGAACUAUCUCAACAGCAACUUUUUAAAAAGUGAUUUUUGUUGCAGCUGAAUUCAGAACCCAAAGCACCUCUGAUUAUCCACUGCUUAGGCAGAACACAGGCAGAAGAUAAAGUGUUCCUGUUAAUGUGCUUCCGCUCUCCCCUAAAGGAGUGAUUUCCAGGAGUGGAGAGGAAGACCAUGUCUACAGAAAUCUUGGCAACCUCUUAUCCAGGAAGACUAUGGAGAUUUCAUGAUCUUGCUGUUGUUUGCAACAAGGUAUUACCUUUGUCCAAACUCCCUCCACACAGCCGGUUUCCUCAUUUCUCCUGGGGUAAACAUCACUGUAAAUAGACACAUUGAUUAGCGCCCUGCCGAACAUCUCUGCCUUCCACACGCUCCAGGUUUCAAUUAGCCUGUAAUCUACAACGAGGAAGGAGUGUGUCGUAAAAAUUAGGAGUCACAAGUGCUGGGUUCCAAUCCUGGUUCUGUCCUUAGCAGCAGUGUAACCUUGAGUCCGUCUCGGGUUCCUCAUUCAUCAAAGGAGGCAGAAAAUUAAAAAAUACAUACCUCACUGUCACCAUCUCGCUUCAUUGUAUCCCCAUCCCAAGCCUGGUGAGGCUCUCGUAAGAUCUGGGUGGAGCUCUAACUGGCCUUUGGACCAGUCUGUGAAUUUCCCCUCCCAUGGAGGAUAAAGGGUUGCACUUUUCUCUGAAGGUUAAUAUCUUAUGUUUAGUACUGACUCCCCUCUAAUGCUUGAGCCAUAGGAUCCUAAGUGGGAGCAAGGACACUGAGAAAUCAGCUAGUCAAGCUCUCUACCUUCACACAGCUGUCCCAUCUUGCUCAGAGCUCUGUCACUGACGACCAGGUGUUGUUGCCUACCUCCUUCACUGAGAGCUUAGCAUCUUCUCAGCUAGACUUAGCAUUUUGAAGAAAAGUUCUGGCAUCUUAUAGAUCCUUGUAUUCCUCUGAGCCCUCAGUGCAACCCAGUACCUUGAAAAUAACAGAUUCUCAGCAAAUGUUUGUGGCUUGAUUAUUUUGAGAAAGAGCUCUGGGGUGUUUAUAACAAAACAGGUUCAUAUUGAAGAAUCCUAUUAUCCCUUCAAAAUGGGCCUAUAAAAGUUCUUUCUAGGACUACCCUAUCUGUACACUAAUGUAAUGACAGCCUGUUUUUCUUUUCUUUUUUUUUUUUUUACUCUGGCCCUAUCUCAGCUAUACUAGUUAAAAACAUUUUUAAUUGGCUUUUAUCAUAUUUGAAAAUGUAAUAAAUACUCAUUAAAAAUGAGUUAAUUAAUACUACUGAGAUGGGCUGUCCCCAUUCUCCACACACCUGUCAGAAAUGACUGCUAAUAGUUUGGAAUAGACUCCUCCAGAUUGUUUUACUUAUUUAUAGUUUUGAUGCAUAUACUAACAUUUGUUAUUAUUUCAUGGAAACAUGGUUAUACUAUUCAUAGUCUUUUGGAACUUGCUUUUAUCAUUUAACAAUGCCUUGUGAACUUGUCUCCAUGUCAACACACACCUCACUCCUUCUUAGUGCUGCAUGGUACAGAAGUUUCUUGUUAACCAACCAUUCCUUAUCAUUAUUUGAAUCCCCAUAGUUGCUAAGUUGUGUAGGGAAGCAGAAAUUGGUCAUAAUAGGAAAAUAACCACUAAUGAACUGGCCACUUACUAAAUUAGUGCCCACUCAAAUUGCCCUCCCAACUUAAUACCAGCAUCUGUCCUCACUCAGCCAGUCAAUUUUGCUGAUUGCAGAUGUUAUAAACAUCCUGCAAUACAAUGUAAAUAAAAUGCAUUUCAGUUGCCACGUAAAGUUGCUAGUCUUGCAAAAGAUGCAGGAUUUUAUGAAGUCAAUGAAAGUGAUUUUGGAGAACUGUUCCAUAGGCAAAUGAGUAUCUGGCAAUGUUAGACCGGUUAACAAUUAAAGAUGAGAAAAACAACCAGGAUGAUAGCAGGAUAAGUUCUUCAAAAGGAGAAUUAUUUGAAUAUCAAAGGAUUAAGAGAGGCUCUCAGGAAAAUUGAUGAAGCCAUCGCAUCUUUUUUUAAAUGACCUUUGUAUGAUUCUGCUAUAAAAGUCAUUGUGAAGUGUAGGGUGUCAAAAUUUACAACCAAAUAAUUUUGUUAGAAAAAUUAUCCCCCUCACCAAAUCAACAUGUGAUUCAUCCUUUGUUUAUUCUAAAAACUAGAGCAUUGUUGUAAUUAGAUUUGAUAUAUGUAUAUCUUCAAAGAUAAAUCAUAGUUACAGAUAAGAUAAUCUUUACUUUUAUUUUUUCAAAACAAAGUCUCAAUCGAACCUUUUUUCAUUCUUUAUUUUACAAUACUAGACCCUAUUUAUUACUUUUGAAGCUUUCAACAGUCAUAUUACGGCAAACAGAAGCAACAGACACUGAAAAUAAGGUUCCUAAUAGACUAAUCAGAUUGCCUCAUUCUCUUUCCGUGAGGCAUUUAGAGGCAGGACUGGCCACUUUGCAAGGAGUAAAGCCCCAGGGUGGCUGGGUAAUUCAGGGGAGGGAAGAGGCCGUAAGAAAGGAGAUAGGCAGUGGACUUCCUCUGGCACUAAUCCGGCACAUAGAUGUUUGGGCCUAAUGUAAUUUGAAAAAAUAAAAAAGAUGUAACCUUAUUUUUGUCCAAGCUGGUAAAGCAAGUUAUACCAGUUAAACGUGGGUCUAUCAGGAUUUAUUUUUAGCAGUUACCUACUGACUGAUAUUUGGAUUGUUUCCAGUUUUUUGCGACUACAAGCCAUGUGGCAAUGAACAACAGUGUACAAAUAUAGCUUGGUGCACUUGUACAAGCAUCUCUGUAAGAAAAAUUCCUAGAAGUGAAAUUCCUGGGGUUGGACAAAGGUAUAUUAAAAAUGUUAACAGGCAUUAGCAAGUUAUCCUACUAUUUAAUGCCACCUACAGCAUCUGAGACGCCUGUUUCUCCACACCCUUCACUUUUUGCCAAGCUGAUUGCAAAAAUAUGCUAUAUACAUUGCUGUUUUCAUUUUCAAUAAUAUAAAUUCUUGAUCUGCAAGAUAAACUUUGCUCACUGCCUGCUUAGAAUCUUUAGGAAGAGCCUCAUUAUAGACUGGAAAAUCUGCAUGAUAAAUGCAGGGGCGAUCAUGUCAUUCCUAGCAAUGGGUAGGAGCUGAAAAAUUGAGCUCAACAUGCAUUCUUCUGUGUAAAAAACCCUCUGAAACUAUUGUAGUCAUUACUUGAACAAGGUAAAGGGUUUAUAGUCAGUAGUGGAAGAUGGAGAUUAUUUUUGCAAAUUCCUGAUUUCAGGACUACAAGAUGCUUUACAGAUUUCAAAAUAUGUGAAUAGAUAAGAUCAGUAGAUCCUGAAACUGGAUGCGAGUGUCAUCCAAGCCCACAUUCUUUCCAUCAGGAUUUUGGUCACAGAAACUGUCGGCAUUCUUACUGAAAAAUUCUUUACCUAUAUGGAAGAUCUAAAAAAGAAACAAAAAAUAUCCCCUAGAGUAUGCAUUUGUCACAACCCAUCAAAUGGUAGAUUAAGAUGUGUGCAUUUCACUGUGUGUAAAUUUUACAUAAAAAAUAAACCAUAGAGUCCUCAAAAAUUAAACUCAGAAUUACCAUAUGAUCUAGCAAUUCCACUUCUGGGAAUACACCCAAAGAAGUGAAAGCAGGGACUUAAACAGAUAUUUGUACACUCCUGUUUUACAGCAGCAUUAUUCACAAUAGGUAAAAGGGGGAAGCAACCCAAAUGUCCAUCAGUGGACGCAUGGAUAAACAAAAUGUGCUACGUGGGUAAAAUGAACUAUUAUUCAGCCUGAAAAAGAAAGGAAAUUCUGAUACAUGCUACAAUGUGGAUGAACCUUGAAGAUAUGAUGCUCACUGAAAUAAGCCAGUCACAAAAGGACAAAUAUUGUAGGAUUCCACUUAUAUGGGUACCUCGAGUAGUCAGAUUCACAGAGACAGAAAGUAGAAUGGUGGUUGCCAGUAGAAUGGUGGGGGCUGAAGGGAGGGGAGAGUGGGGAUUUAGUGUCUAACGAGUGGAGUUUCAGUUGGGGAAAAUGAAAAGUUCUGUAGAUGGAUGGUGAUGAUGAUUACAAUAUGAAUGUACUUAAUGCCAAGAACUGUAUAUGUACAAAGGGGUCAAAUGAUAAAUUUUAUAUUAUGCAUAUUUUACCACACUAAACAUACUUUUUAAAAACCCAUAAAAGAUACUGAACUAAUGAUAUGCAUGCUGAAGUGUUUGAGUGUGAAAUGUACUGAUGUCUACAACUUUAUUUGAAAUGUAUCAAAAAAUGAAGAUGAGUCGAUAGACUGAUAGAGGAAUGAAUGGAUAUGUGAUAAAGUAAAUAUAACAAAUGUAAAUUGUAAUCUAGAUGGUAAACAUAUGUAUGUUCACUGUGCCAUUCUUCUAACUUUUCUGUGUGUUUGAAAGUUUUCUUAAUAAAAUGUUGAGAGGAAAUGACCUAGGCUAAAAAAAUAACCAGCAAAUGAAAGUCUCUUUUUACCAUAAAUUCAUAUUUUGCUUUUGUUCAUUAUGGGGAACAAUUUUGCAUGGAGAGAUCUUCAUGCAGAGUUAAGGAAAUAGGACUGAUGUUUUGUUUGCUUUUAAUAACGGUCAGACAGGAAUAUUUAUUAGACGAGAAUUGGACAGGUAUUGAUUCACAAGUGACUCUAUGAUAUUAAAAAUGAACUCAAUACCACCAAAGUUGAUGAGUAUCUCUCUAUAUAUACAAAGGCAAGGGUCAUAGUUCAGCUUUUUCUUCCAUAUGUAGGAUUUCAGCGUGUGUAGAGGGAAAGAAUCCCAGCCUACUCAAACGGAAAAGAUGACACAAAUAGAUUGGCUGUGAUGACAUGCAACUUUGGAGUGUUGCGAGACCGGAGGUCCUCCUGAUAAAUAUUAGCUCAUGGUAGAAGUGUAGUAGAUUAUAAAUAGCAGUGCUUCAUUUCCUCAUAGAAACAUUUUAGAGAGC